GUAGACAUAGUUUAACCAAAACAUUAGAUUGUGAUUCUAAAAACAGAAGUUAGACCCUUCUUGUCCACC
rnacentral:tRNA from 1 species